AGACAGAUUUAGAUCGAGGACGUGGAUGUCAAAGACGAUAUGAACAUGGCGUGGCAUAUCCAUAAAUGGACACAACACGCCAUUUUCGCGUCGUCUUUGACGUCCGCGUCCUCAAUCUAAAUAUGUCU